ACAGCAGCCUGCCUCCUCUUUCGACAUCACAGAGGCUGCUGUGUCCUUCGCCAAGGACUCCCUGGCAGGUGGAGUGGCCGCAGCCAUCUCCAAGAUGGCGGUAGCACCCAUCGAGCGGGUCAAGCUGCUGCUACAGGUGCAGCAUGCCAGCAAGCAGAUCACUGCAGAUAAGCAAUACAAGGGCAUUAGAGACUGCAUGGUCUGUAUUCCCAAGGAGCACGGAGUCCUGUCCUGGUGCGGUAACCUGGCCAGUGUCAUCAGAUACUUCCCCCACCCAGGCUCUUAACUUCACCUUCAAAGAUAAAUACAAGCAGAUCUUCCUGGAUGGUGUGGACAAGAGAUCCCAGUUUUGGCGCUACUUUGCAGGGAAUCUGGCAUCAGGCGGUGCCACUGGGGCCACAUCCUUGUGUUUUGUGUACCCUCUUGAUUUUGCCCAUACUCGUGUAGCAGCUGAUGUGGGCAAAGCUGGAGCUGAAAGGGAAUUGCGAGGUUUCGGUGACUGCCUAGUUAAGAUCUACAAAUCUGACGGGAUUAAGAGCCUGUACCAAGGCUUUAACGUGUCUGUGCAGGGUAUUAUCUACCGAGCUGCCUGCUGCCUACUUCGGUAACUAUGACACUGCAAAGGGAAUGCUUCCGGAUCCCAAGAACACUCACAUUGUCAUCAGUUGGAUGAUGCACAGACUGUCACUGCCGUUGCUGGGUUGACUUCCUAUUCAUUUAACACCAUUUGCUGCUACAUGAUGAUGCAGUCAGGAUGCAAAGGAACUGACAUCAUGUACACAGGCACAUUUGACUGCUGGAGGAAGAUUACUCAUGAUGAAGGAAGCAAAGCUGUUUUCAAGGGUGCAUGGUCCAGUGUUCUCAGAGGCAUGGGUGGUGCUUUUGUGCUUGUCUUGUAUGAUGAAACCAAGAAGUACAUUCACUCCUAAUAAAUAACAAAUUUGGAGAAAUAAAAAUAUC
ensembl:lncRNA novel transcript